rnacentral:piRNA from 1 species
UAUCGUUGUAAACUAAAAAGC